rnacentral:lncRNA from 1 species
UUAAACCCUAGAAAAAAUUCCGAACUACCUCCGUUGCAUAAAUCCCAACCUCCAUUAUUUCUGUUCUCGCUUCCUCCGUCCGUCGACCUGACGAUCAGCAGCCAUGCCGAAGCAUUACAGUAAGUUCAGACAAAUGAUGUUUUUUCGUGUGUAUAUACAUAUAUCUACAUAUAAAUUCUCAAUUUGUUUCAUAUACAAAUCUAUUUGUACAUAACAGGGAAAGAAGAAGCUAAUGCCGCAAGAUAUAGAACGCACGCUGUAAAGUUCCCUCGAGUCAGUCUAUUACUCUUCAGGCAUCUUCUACAUCUCUAUCCUCUCUAUUAGUUUUACUCAAUUUUUGCUAAUUAUGUUGAUUUUUUCUAAUUGGGUUUUGAGAUUACAAUUUGUUUCGUCAAUAGUAUAGAUUAAUUGGGACAAUUUUUUUGUUACUUGGCUUCUCUUAGGGUUUAUAAUCUCUCAGGAAAAUGAAAUAUAUGGUUUAAUGUGUAUUGGAAAUUAUGUAUUCUCAAACGCAUAUUUCCCCGGGAACCAAAAAAGAAGGUGAAGGCAAAAUUCACACUUGUUAUCACAUGACAGAUAUUGUGUUCCUUAAACACGAGCCACUACUACCGAAGUUUAGAGAUAUGGGUGCCUAUGUUAGAAAGAUAAAAGAAAGCGGCAUCAAAAAGAACAGAGGAUGCUGAAAAAAUAACAUAUGUGAUUCAUUUUCACCCUCCCCAACUAGUAUUCAAUAAAAAGCACUGAGAUUUAGAGUCAUGAACAUACUGAAAAAGUAGUCCACCGGUGUGUUUCAUGGCAGACCUGCUUGAUCCUACUGGGAAGUUGACCUGACUUCCUAGAACUGCAGCGAUUAUAUAUAGAUGUAUUACUUCUGUUCAUAACAUAUUUUGUGCAGAAGCUCUUGUUCUUCUUCAUUUCCUACCUUUUCCUGGCGGUAAUUUGCCUUUGGUAGUUGAACAAUAACAUUUAGUGUCACGAAGAUGUUGAAGAUGUGGGGGCCCAUCAUGUUGUUGCUGUGCACCUAAAAAUCUUUAGGCAUUGGUAUUUGGAAUGUUUGUAAUUGUCAGUUCUUCAGGAGCAAUAUCACGACGAUCUCAAUCAGGAAGGUAAAGGUGAGCUGUUUCCUUUCAUCUCAAAUGUGAGGAAGGAGAAUGCUGAGGAUACAGGGGUUGGAAAAGAAAUUCUCCUUGAUCUGCAACAAGUUGCCGAGGAUGCUCAAAUUUGUCUGAGGUUUUGAUGUCACCUAAAAAGUGGGGGGUGUAUAAUGCCAUCCAG